rnacentral:rRNA from 1 species
GUGCCAGCAGCCGCGGUAAUACGUAGGGACCGAGCGUUGUCCGGAUUCAUUGGGCGUAAAGAGCUCGUAGGCGGCCACUCAAGUCGAAUGUGAAACCUCGAGGCUCAACCUCGAGCCUGCAUUCGAUACUGGGCGGCUAGAGUCUGGUAGGGGGAUCUGGAAUUCCUGGUGUAGCGGUGGAAUGCGCAGAUAUCAGGAGGAACACCGGUGGCGAAGGCGGGAUCCUGGGCCAGUACUGACGCUGAGGAGCGAAAGCGUGGGGAGCAAACAGGAUUAGAUACCCUGGUAGUCCACGCCGUAAACGAUGGGCGCUAGGUGUGGGAGGUCAUCGACUCCUUCCGUGCCGCAGCUAACGCAUUAAGCGCCCCGCCUGGGGAGUACGGCCGCAAGGCUAAAACUCAAAGGAAUUGACGGGA